GAUGAACGCUGGCGGCGUGCCUAAUACAUGCAAGUCGAGCGAACAGACGAGGAGCUUGCUCCCCUGACGUUAGCGGCGGACGGGUGAGUAACACAUGGAUAACCUACCUAUAAGACUGGGAUAACUUCGGGAAACCGGAGCUAAUACCGGAUAAUAUAUUGAACCGCAUGGUUCAAUAGUGAAAGACGGUUUUGCUGUCACUUAUAGAUGGAUCCGCGCCGCAUUAGCUAGUUGGUAAGGUAACGGCUUACCAAGGCGACGAUGCGUAGCCGACCUGAGAGGGUGAUCGGCCACACUGGAACUGAGACACGGUCCAGACUCCUACGGGAGGCAGCAGUAGGGAAUCUUCCGCAAUGGGCGAAAGCCUGACGGAGCAACGCCGCGUGAGUGAUGAAGGUCUUCGGAUCGUAAAACUCUGUUAUUAGGGAAGAACAAAUGUGUAAGUAACUAUGCACGUCUUGACGGUACCUAAUCAGAAAGCCACGGCUAACUACGUG
rnacentral:rRNA from 1 species